AAUACCAUUUUUUUGUUCAAAAAAAAAAAAAAAAAAAAAAAAUAUUUUCACAUAUUUCAAAGGAGCGGAUUCGGAAAUGGAUUUAUAUUUAACCGAUGAUGAUAAUGGCCGUAUUAAACCAACGACAGUAUUGUAUAGAAUUUCCAUACUUUUGUUUGGUAUUUUUAUUUUUGCAGUAAUUCACUUCUGAUGAAUGAAUGUUUGAAUGAAUGAAUGAAUG